GACGAACGCUGGCGGCGUGCCUAAUACAUGCAAGUAGAACGCUGAAGGAGGAGCUUGCUUCUCUGGAUGAGUUGCGAACGGGUGAGUAACGCGUAGGUAACCUGCCUGGUAGCGGGGGAUAACUAUUGGAAACGAUAGCUAAUACCGCAUAAUAGUAGAUGUUGCAUGACAUUUGCUUAAAAGGUGCAAUUGCAUCACUACCAGAUGGACCUGCGUUGUAUUAGCUAGUUGGUGAGGUAACGGCUCACCAAGGCAACGAUACAUAGCCGACCUGAGAGGGUGAUCAGCCACACUGGGACUGAGACACGGCCCAGACUCCUACGGGAGGCAGCAGUAGGGAAUCUUCGGCAAUGGACGGAAGGCUGACCGAGCAACGCCGCGUGAGUGAAGAAGGUUUUCGGAUCGUAAAGCUCUGUUGUAAGAGAAGAACGAGUGUGAGAGUGGAAAGUUCACACUGUGACGGUAUCUUACCAGAAAGGGACGGCUAACUACGUG
rnacentral:rRNA from 1 species